CGGGAUAACCCUUCGAAAAGAGGGCUAAUACCGGAUACGCCUCAUCGUUUAUAAGAAUGUUGAGGGAAAGGUGGCCUCUGCUUGCAAGCCAUUUCUGGUUGAGGGGCUCGCGGCCCAUUAGGUAGUUGGUGAGGUAAUGGCUCACCAUGCCGGCGAUGGGUAGCUGGUCUGAGAGGAUGAUCAGCCACACUGGCACUGAGACACGGGCCAG
rnacentral:rRNA from 1 species